rfam:Octopus bimaculoides Scaffold65425_contig_10, whole genome shotgun sequence.
GUCAGUUUAGCUUAAUGGUAAAGCACUGGACGCGUAGUCACAGGGAUAUGAGUUCGAGUCUCAUGGCUGGCC